rnacentral:tRNA from 1 species
GCGAUGGUGGCGAAAUCGGCAGACGCACAGGACUUAAAAUCCUGGGCUCCGUAAGGAGCGUGUGGGUUCAAGUCCCACCCGUCGCA